rnacentral:rRNA from 1 species
GACAGAGGGUGCAAACGUUGUUCGGAAUCACUGGGCGUAAAGCGUGUGUAGGCGGCGUAGUAAGUCGGAUGUGAAAGCCCCGGGCUCAACCUGGGAAGUGCACUCGAUACUGCUGAGCUUGAGUACUGGAGAGGUUGGUGGAAUUCUCGGUGUAGAGGUGAAAUUCGUAGAUAUCGGGAAGAACAUCGGUGGCGAAGGCGGCCAACUGGACAGAUACUGACGCUGAGACACGAAAGCGUGGGGAGCAAACAGG